UGGGGUUGCACUGCAGCCGAGAUCAGGCUGAAAAUGGCCUCUGCUUGGGAGCUGCUGUAGUGACGCAGAGAGUAAGGAACCUAAGCCCUUUUGCCAGAAUCCUCUGUUUUACAGCCCUGGCACCUUACUUCCAAGAAAACUUGCUCAAACACUUCCUCUUUGGGCCUUGAAACACUGGUGGAGGCACUUCUGACUGUAGCUUUUUAUACCUAAAUUAAGAACUCAGACUGAUUCCACAAUCUGAACUGGAGCUCAUUUUGGAAAAUGACACACAGAGACUGGAGAUCUGCGUCAGCAGGGGUAAAUGACACAGAUGGCGACCUGAGCAAGCCCAAGAAGACUACAUUGUUAUUUUGAAAGGAGUGGGGAAAAGAUCUCAUCUUUUCCUGGGUGUCCAAAAAGACCACGCCCUCAGUCAUGGAAAGGGAUGAAAUGAGUGAAAAGCAAGCAAUACCACUUCUAUGGAAUUCUAUGGAAAGACCAAUCAGAAACUCAAGCCAGGAGAGAGAGAGAGACUGAUAAUAGCAAGUUCUACUGGAAUGUAGUAAAGUGAAUACAUUUCUCCCAUCUGGACUCCUUCUCUUCCACCUACAUCCAGAAUACAUAUUUUGAGGAAAUGAAACAGCUACCAUUUCCACUCUUAUGUUGCAAUCUGAAGAUAAGUCAGAGCAGAGCCAGACAAAACUGCCCAUGAAAUGGACUUGCAUGAAGAUUGAUUGUUAUGGAGAGCAGCUUCUAACAUAUCUAGGAUGGCAUCAUAUUGCUGGACAACCUUUUUUGCACCUUGACUUAAGCAUGCCACCGUAAAUUGCUUUCCUGCUCUGUACGAGCAGAUUCUGUCAAGUUAAGAUUUCUUGCAUUCAAUGAAAAAUCAAUCUGUAAUGGUUAAACAUUAUUAGAACAUAUUUGAUGCAUAUUACAUUUUCAAAAAAAAACACCCCAAAACCCCACCACCCCAUAUAUUUCAUUAACACCCCAUUUCCACCAUAUCUAGCUAUUUGUCUCAAAACUGUCUUCUCUCAAUCUAAAGCUGUACCUCAGCCCCAUCACACUUCUUAAAAUAUAGGCUGAAAACAAUCUCUUAGGGCAGGGAUAACCAAUUGAUAGGCUAGAGGCAGUCAGUGAAGCAAUUCCCAUGCUCCACAAAAUUUCAACAUGUUGCAGUAGAGUGCUCACAGUUUCAUUUAUAAGGGGAAACAUUUCUAUGUUAUGAGAUGGAGAUAUUCUACACUUUAAUGUUACAUCUGUCCUUGAAUUUUCUUUAGUUAUGCUUCCUACUUCUCCAAGGGGUCAGACAUCCAAGGGCAGCCCUGAGAGUUGUGCUUCCCUUUGGGUGAGCGAGAACACUGAAAAGAAAACUUUCUAGGAGGUAAAGUAUCAGGUUGCAAUGUAGGCGGCAGAGUUGGUACUGCAGGGGGCUCUAUUACAAGUUCCUGCCUAAAAAAUUCCCUUAGCCACUGUGUGGCUCUAGGAGAGAACGGAUCUUUACUCACAACGAGAGACGCGGAAGGAGCCGGUGCAGGAAAAUCCUCGUUGGCGGGUUCGCUGGUGGUGACGAAGCCCACGAAAUCUCCCCCAAUAAGCCCUCCGUGGGUAAGGGGUCAGUCGCCGGUAGGAUGCCCACUGGGCACCGGCCGCCCUGCUCUGUCUUUGUGCACUUCUUAUGGCCAUCCUUGUUCUUGGCACCAUUGGUUUUAGAGCGGCAGCAAACAGCCUGAAUCAGUAACUGCUCGCGCGCUUGUGUCCCUCUGCUCUGACCAGGGACUCUUUGCGUUUCUUUUUCUUUUUAGUAAUGUGUUCCCCUGAGUGCUUGAAUUUUUUGGUUGCCUUUGUGGGUAUUUGCCCCGGCAUGGUGGCCUCUAUUGCCAGCGCCACCGGCGCGGCAGGAACAGAAGACAAGGUCAGAGUCGCAUCGGGAGAAACCGCUGAAGCGGAUUGAUCCUCCUGCGCGUUGCCCAGGUGCUGUGGGAACAACGAGGCGACCAACAUCAAUCCCUGCAAAAGCUCCUUGGCAUGGGCUGUGUCCAUGAGGACCAUUAGAGAACAGUAAAAAACAACGGAAAAGACUAACUUUAUAUGAACAACCAAUAAAGCCAAAUUUAAAGUUAAAAGUCAAUUUAGGAAGUCAAUUUUUCGAUACCGAAUGGAGUGCAAACUGUCCUCCCACCCUUGCACACGCUGGGUGGGAGAGGAGAGGAGGCAGACAGAAUAAAGAGAGGAAUAGCAGUAAAUUUUUAAGCUGAAAAAACAGACUGGAAAGUAGUUUGAAUAAAUCGACAAGAUGAGCUCUCUCUGAAAGGUCUAGUCCCGAGCGAGACAGAACUGGAACUAGGGAGCCAGCUACGCCUACAAAGAGUCACACGGUCCAGUUCUGUCUCGGGCAUGCACAGUUCCUAACCCUUCCUGAGGAUCUCCUACCACCAGGGGAAAAAUAAUGCUUCUGGCUCCUGAAACACCACCUAGAGAACAGAGUGAUUUCCAAGCUCACAGGAUAGGCCACUGUCUAGUUUCAGGACAGGCAUAUUGGCACCGUCUAUACCUAAAGCAGGGAUGAUCAGCUUUUGCAAUCUUGGGAAUCACCAUCAUGACCCACAGCCUUGAGCAACAGUCUGACCCUGAGGAGUCAGGCCAGAGGGGUGUCACUUCUGCCAUUUUCCACACUAUGUACUUCUCCACACCAACAGCAAUGGCCAAUCUGCACACCAACAGCAAUGGGCCUGGAGAGACUUGAUGGAGUGGGAAAGUGCUAGAUUCCAAGCCAGAAGACUGCCCCUUUAAAUCUCUCACCAUUUCAGGCAAGCAGGCAGAGCCUGGGAGGUUUAGUCUGAACCUAAUGGUAUUUAAGACUAGGGAUGUGCACGAAUAUAUUUUUUUCUAUUCGAUUUAUACCUGAAGCGAAUCACCGCCAAUUUGUUUUGGGUCCAAAUCUGGUCAGCUAGCACAGGGGUGAUUUGUUUUGUCCCAAAAUCUUCCAAAACAGGUAGAUUUGGGUACAAAUCAUUUUGUAGACAAAUCGAUUCACACAAACAGCAGGUGCAGGCAGUGAUUCUCUCAGCAGCAAGAAGGGGGUAAAAAAAAUUCUCUUUUCCUCAAUCAUGAAAGCAGGAACAACAAAACAGAGAAUCCACUCCACGCAGCAGGCAUGCAAGGUAAAGCAAAGCUCCUCUGGCUCUCUCUCUCUCUCUCUCUCUCUCUCUCUCUCUCUCUCUCUCUCUCAUGAGGCACGGUGACUGGCUGCCUCCUUAAGUACAUUUGAAAAUCCCUCCUUUGAACUCCCCCCAGCCUUGUCCUUUCUUUGACCCUUCCCUUAGUCCAAGUGGGAUCAGUCAACCAUGGCAACACAAGAUUUGAAUGGAAAUGAGCCAAUCUGGAACCAGGGGGAAUCGCCAGCCCAUCGUUGCACACUGUAAGUCACCAAUUUGAAGCUUAGGAGGGUAGGAUUUUCAAAAAUAUUUCCUGACACAAAAUUGAUACACAAAAUGGAGGUCUGAAUCUACACAUUUUUCAGGUCCAAAAUCUGGGCAAUUUGUUUUGGUCCCGAAUCUGGCCAGCUAGCACAGGGGCGAUUUGUUUUGUCCACAAAUCUCCCAAAACAGGUACAAAUCAUUUUGUAGUCAAAUCAAUUCACAUAUCCCUAUUUAAGACCUCAUUCCAACUCUGGUCCUCAUCGGAGCAAAUUGCUCACUUGCAGUUACCCAGGGUUCUCCAAGCCCAAGUGCCUUGACAGUUCCUGAUUAUGGUACAGGACAAUUAUUUUAUACAUCUCACCUAGCAAAAACUCUUCAGCAACAAGCAAAAACUACAUGGGCAAGAAUAAUGACUCAGUUAAUUCCCAUGCCAGUGCUGCCUGCUCCUCAAGCUUUAUUGUUUAUUAUUAUUAGAAUAUUUAUAUACUGCUUUUCUACAAAAACAUUUUCAAAACAGCUUAUACAGAAACAUUUCAUUGAUCUAUCCUUCACUCUGAAACUGAUUGAUUCCUGAAAACAUGUCCCUGGGGGUCAUGUGGCCCUCAUGGACAUAUUUUUGGGAGUCACAGUAGGCUUCAGAGAGAAGGAGAGAUGAACCAAUAUUGCCCCUUCCCCAUAGCACCAGUGCAGCAUUAGCAGCACUAGUGCUUUGUUAGUCUGGAUGUCAGUCAUUAGACAAAUUCAUUUAUUUUGGGGGAGGUCAGAAGAACAGAAAUCAUUUAUACCACUUUGUGCAAUGCUUCUAUAUUCUAUACAUGACGUCACAUCUUUUUCAGAAGUGACAUCAUGACAUUACAUUUCUCCUUCCUUCCUUCUUUUCUAAUAUCUUUCUUACAUUUGAACUUCUUUCCUAAUUUUCUCUGGUUAUCUCGAUUUUAUUCUUGUAUUCUGUACAUUGUUAAAAAAUGAACAUUAAAUUUUAAAAAUCAUUUUUAGGUUAAUUUCCUCAUUUUUAGGUUAAUUCCACACCUCAAACACAUUCUCCUCCAAUGUUUAUUCAACUGCAAUUUUCAAACUGUGAUUAGGCAACAUAAAUAUCUCACAGCUGAAGUACUCGAUAAAUAGUUAUUAGGUAUAUUAACUAUCAAUAUACGACACUUUGUGUUUGCUUACUAAUUUUACAGCUAAGUAUAUGUUUUAUCAUAUAAAGGCUUUGAAAGAAACAAAAGAAAUUAUGAAAAGUGAGGCAUUAUUAUGCUCUUCCCACUCAGAGGCCUCUCUGUUCAUCUAAAUACAUUAAUUUGUAUGGUAAACAUUGGCAUUUGAUGGGAGAAGGAAGUGGGAAUCAAACGUAUGUCUAUUUAUUUCUUUUUUCAGGCAGUCCUGCAAAAUUUGUGCUAAAUAGAAUAGGGAUAAUGGCUGGACCUCUUUGGUUUUUUAAAAAAAUCCAAAAUGGCACCUCCAUAUGGUAAAUAUUUAUUUAUUUAUUUAUGUAUUUAUUUAUUUAUUUAUUUAUUUAUUUUAUUGGAUUUAUAUACUGCCCUUCCAAAAUGGCUCAGGGCAGUUAAUACACUAAUAAUUGGACAUUUGCUGCCCUUUAAUAUAAUCAAGAACUGCUUCCUGGGCUAGAUGCUUCAUUUUUCUUUUUGGUAUGGCUCACAAGGACAAACCCCCCCCCCCCCCAGGUUCACACUUUCACUCAUUAAUUCUGACAAAAUCAAAAUGACAAGAUCUCCACAGAGGAGAUAGCAGUUCUUUUUCUCAUGCAAAUGCCCCUUAGCCUUUGGAGUGUAGGGUGCUCCCCAGAGGUCCUGAGAUCUAUCUCCAGAGCUCUCAUUUAUGCUGAUGUGUUGAGAAGGUAAGAAACUGUAGGAGUCUCUUCCAAACAAGAGAAGAGAUUCCUGCUGUUUGUUUUUUUUUAAAAAAACUUGUUUCCAUAUCCUAGCACAAAUGACUCUACCUCUCUCCUGAGCCCUCUGCACAUGCCAGAAGACUCAGGGAGGGGAAGGAGUAGGUGGUGACAACAGACUAUGGCUGGCUAGUAGACCAAGCCAAUAUUUGUUGACCUUUAUUCCCUUCGACCCCAGACAAUGUCCAUCAAAUGUAUUUUUUCAUACUCAGUUUAUU